rnacentral:rRNA from 1 species
UUUGAUCAUGGCUCAGAACGAACGCUGGCGGCGUGCCUAACACAUGCAAGUCGCGCGAGAAAAGGGGGGCAACUCCCUGAGUAAAGCGGCGAACGGGUGAGUAACACGUAGGUAAUCUACCCUCAAGUCCAGGAUAACCUACCGAAAGGUGGGCUAAUACCGGAUAUGACCACGGGAGUCUCGGCUCCUGCGGUGAAAGGUGGCCUCUGCUUGCAAGCUACCGCUCGAAGAUGAGCCUGCGCGCCAUUAGCUAGUUGGCGGGGUAACGGCCCACCAAGGCGAUGAUGGCUAGCUGGUCUGAGAGGAUGGCCAGCCACACUGGGACUGAAACACGGCCCAGACUCCUACGGGAGGCAGCAGUGGGGGAUAUUGCGCAAUGGGCGAAAGCCUGACGCAGCGACGCCGCGUGGGUGAUGAAGGCCUUCGGGUCGUAAAGCCCUGUCGAGGGGGAAGAAACGAUCCCGACCUAACACGUCGGGGUCCUGACGGUACCCCUAAAGGAAGCACCGGCUAACUCCGUGCCAGCAGCCGCGGUAAUACGGAGGGUGCGAGCGUUGUUCGGAAUCACUGGGCGUAAAGGGCGUGUAGGCGGUCCGCUAAGUCUGAUGUGAAAGCCCGGGGCUCACCCCCGGAAGUGCAUUGGAAACUGGCGGACUCGAGUCCCGGAGAGGAGAGUGGAAUUCCUGGUGUAGCGGUGAAAUGCGUAGAUAUCAGGAGGAACACCGGUGGCGAAGGCGGCUCUCUGGACGGUGACUGACGCUGAGACGCGAAAGCGUGGGGAGCAAACAGGAUUAGAUACCCUGGUAGUCCACGCUGUAAACGAUGAGCACUAGGUGUCGUGGGUAUUGACCCCCGCGGUGCCGUAGCUAACGCAUUAAGUGCUCCGCCUGGGGACUACGGCCGCAUGGUUAAAACUCAAAGGAUUUGACGGGGGCC